UGGUCAUUUAGAGGAAGUAAAAGUCGUAACAAGGUUUCCGUAGGUGAACCUGCGGAAGGAUCAUUACAGUAGUCGCCCGGGUUGCCGCAAGGCCUCCCGGGUAACCUACCACCCUUUGUUUAUUACACUUUGUUGCUUUGGCAGGCCUGCCCUCGGGCUGCUGGCUCCGGCCGGCGAGCGCUUGCCAGAGGACCUAAACUCUGUUUGUCUAUACUGUCUGAGUACUAUAUAAUAGUUAAAACUUUCAACAACGGAUCUCUUGGUUCUGGCAUCGAUGAAGAACGCAGCGAAAUGCGAUAAGUAAUGUGAAUUGCAGAAUUCAGUGAAUCAUCGAAUCUUUGAACGCACAUUGCGCCCCCUGGUAUUCCGGGGGGCAUGCCUGUCCGAGCGUCAUUACAACCCUCAAGCUCAGCUUGGUAUUGGGCCCCGCCGACCCGGCGGGCCCUAAAGUCAGUGGCGGUGCCGUCCGGCUCCGAGCGUAGUAAUUCUUCUCGCUCUGGAGGUCCGGUCGUGUGCUCGCCAGCAACCCCCAAUUUUUUUCAGGUUGACCUCGGAUCAGGUAGGGAUACCCGCUGAACUUAAGCAUAUCAAUAA
rnacentral:rRNA from 1 species